rnacentral:rRNA from 1 species
UACGGGGGGGGCAAGCGUUGUUCGGAAUUACUGGGCGUAAAGGGCUCGUAGGUGGCCAACUAAGUCGGACGUGAAAUCCCUCGGCUCAACCUGGGAACUGCGUCCGAUACUGGCAGGCUUGAAUCCGGGAGAGGGAUGUGGAAUUCCAGGUGUAGCGGUGAAAUGCGUAGAUAUCUGGAGGAACACCGGUGGCGAAGGCGGCAUCCUGGACCGGUAUUGACGCUGAGGCGCGAAAGCUAGGGGAGCAAACGGG